CGGUCAGAAGCAAUGGUCAGAAGCCUAUACUGUCUAUGUCAGAAGCCAAACUCACUAGAUUUUGUGGCAGACGAGGAGGGACAAGGCAGAAGAUACCAGAUACAAGCCGUGUGCCACAGCCGCUGAUGUGCAGAGAACAGUGAUGCUACCGAGCACCUCCUGCUUUAUUAUCCAAGGUGACCUGAUGAAGCCAAGGACUUGGAUGCUAUCCACUGAAGGACAAGUGGUGAUGGGACCAGACGACAGCUUCAUCAAUGGGAUAGCAGCUGUUUUUGCAAGCUAUUACAACUUUAAUCUGUAGUAUCCUGACGA